UACGUAGGGUGCAAGCGUUGUCCGGAAUUAUUGGGCGUAAAGAGCUCGUAGGCGGUUUGUCGCGUCUGCUGUGAAAACUUGGGGCUUAACCCCGGGCCUGCAGUGGGUACGGGCAGACUAGAGUGCGGUAGGGGAGACUGGAAUUCCUGGUGUAGCGGUGAAAUGCGCAGAUAUCAGGAGGAACACCAGUGGCGAAGGCGCCGCUCUGGGCCGUGACUGACGCUGAAGAGCGAAAGCGUGGGUAGCAAACAGG
rnacentral:rRNA from 1 species